rnacentral:pre_miRNA from 1 species
GUUAAGGAGAAUGUUGUCUGGUUCGUGACCAUAUAUAUAUAUAUAUAUUUCAUCAUUUAAAUGAUCUCGGACCAGGCUUCAUUCCCCUCAAC